rnacentral:rRNA from 1 species
CGAGGGGGAUAACAGUUAAGAAAUGACUGACUAACUACCGCAUAAGCGACACGAGGACUGCAUCGGUCCAGUGUAAGAAAAACCGUCCGGGUGGUAUGAGAGUCGGGACCCGCGUCUGUAUUAGCUAGUUGGUAGGGGGUAACGGCCUACCAAGGCGACGAUCAGUAGCCCGACCUGAGGAGGGUGGACCCGGCCACAGUUGGGACUGAGACGACCGGACCCAAACCUCCGUACGGGGAGGCAGCAGGUAGGGGAAUAUUGCACAAUGGGGGAAACCCUGAUGCAGCGACGCCGCGUGAGUGAAGAAGUAUUUCGGUAUGUAAAGCUCUAUCAGCAGGGAAGAAAAUGACGGUACCUGACUAAGAAGCCCCGGCUAACUACGUGCCAGCAGCCGCGGUAA